rnacentral:misc_RNA from 1 species
GAUGAAGAACGCAGAGAAAUGCGAUACGUAAUGUGAAUUGCAAAUUCAGUGAAUCAUCGAGUCUUUGAACGCACAUUGCGCCCCCUGGUAUUCCGGGGGGCAUGCCUGUCCGAGCGUCAUUGCUGCCCUCAAGCACGGCUUGUGUGUUGGGCCCCGUCCUCCGAUCCCGGGGGACGGGCCCGAAAGGCAGCGGCGGCACCGCGUCCGAUCCUCGAGCGUAUGGGGCUUUGUCACCCGCUCUGUAGGCCCGGCCGGCGCUUGCCGAUCAACCCAAAUUUUUAUCCAGGUUGACCUCGGAUCAGGUAGGGAUACCCGCUGAAUUUAAGCAUAUCAAUAAGCGGAGGA